AAUAUAAAGAUCCAGACUCGGGGAGGAGCCUCGGCGUGUCGCCGAGCCAAUAUCCGCCGGCCCGUUUCGCCUGACAGUUGCGCGAGGGCCAGGAGAGGGGCGGCUCCGCGGGGCCCGGGAGCGAUCGGCGGUCAGAGCGCGCGUGUGCGCCCGGGCGCGGCGCGGAGGAGCCUCGGGAACCUGCCGCCCUCGCCGCGCCGGCCGGGAUCCAUUUUAUGUGGCGGCGCUCGUGCCUGACAGUGCGAGGCCUGGAGCCGGGCCGGGGCGGGGGCGGGGGCGGGGGCUCGUCGCUCUCGCUGCGUGCGGGGAAGUUCCUGGCGCGCCGCCCGGGCCCGGGGCUCUAAUGAAACGCCGCUGCGCGAGCCUGGAGCUCAGGGGCCGCGCGAGCGAGCGCGGCUGGACGGAAAUGCGGCGCCCCAGCCUCCCCCGCCCCCAAGUUCUUUCUCUUCCUGACAAGGCUUGCAGGUCUGUCUUUGAAACGCCGUGCAGAAGGGAUUGAGUCACAAACAAGUCCACAAACAUGCCGGGUCCUCCCCCCGCCCUUUGUUCUCGGAGACCUGCCCGGCAAACCUUUUCUGGAAUGGCCCUACCGACCCCGGGCCGGCCGGGGGCCACCCUCCCCGACCGCAGCCGCCGGACUAGGGCCCUUGGUCCCCCGCCCGCCCGAGCCCCGGUCUGUGACGGACUAAGCCGCCCGGGACUGGGACAGGCAAAGCCAAGGAGUGUGCCAGGGAGAAACAUAAACCCUUCCUUGGUCCUCAAGCAGGAACCACACACAGCUUAGGAUCUGAGCUGGAAGAUGUGGGUAGCAGGUGGGGCAUAAAAAGGGACAUGGAUGAAGCUGGAAACCAUCAUUCUCAGCAAACUAACACAGGAACAGAAAACCAA